CCUACGGGUGGCUGCAGUCGAGAAUCAUUCACAAUGGGGGAAACCCUGAUGGUGCGACGCCGCGUGGGGGAAUGAAGGUCUUCGGAUUGUAAACCCCUGUCAUGUGGGAGCAAAUUAAAAAGAUAGUACCACAAGAGGAAGAGACGGCUAACUCUGUGCCAGCAGCCGCGGUAAUACAGAGGUCUCAAGCGUUGUUCGGAAUCACUGGGCGUAAGGCGUGCGUAGGCUGUUUCGUAAGUCGUGUGUGAAAGGCGCGGGCUCAACCCGCGGAUGGCACAUGAUACUGCGAGACUAGAGUAAUGGAGGGGGAACCGGAAUUCUCGGUGUAGCAGUGAAAUGCGUAGAUAUCGAGAGGAACACUCGUGGCGAAGGCGGGUUCCUGGACAUAAACUGACGCUGAGGCACGAAGGCCAGGGGAGCGAAAGGGAUUAGAUACCCGAGUAGUC
rnacentral:rRNA from 1 species